GAUUUCAUUCUCUCUCUCAGUUCAUCAUUCUUUCAAAUUAAAUUUGUAUUUCUAAUCCUCAAAUACAAACAGAUUCUAAUAGGAAUCUUCUAAUUUUUCAAAAAUUAGAAUCUUUCUGUUUGAGAAAUUGAAAAAUUAGAAUCUUUUUGGAAAAAAUUAGAAAAUUCCCAUUAGAAUCUAUAUGUAUUUGAGGAUUAGAAAUACAAAUUUAAUUUGUAAGAAUGAUGAACUGAGAGAGAGAACGAAAUU
rnacentral:miRNA from 1 species